AGAGUUUGAUCCUGGCUCAGGACGAACGCUGGCGGCGUGCCUAACACAUGCAAGUCGAACGGGGAUUUUGUUUCGGCAGAAUCCUAGUGGCGAACGGGUGAGUAACGCGUAGGCAACCUGCCCCCCGGAUUGGGACAACACCCCGAAAGGGGUGCUAAUACCGGAUACGAAGUAACUAUCGCAUGGUGGUUACUUGAAAGAUGGCCUCUACAUGUAAGCUAUCGCCGGGGGAUGGGCCUGCGUCCGAUUAGCUGGUUGGUGGGGUAACGGCCCACCAAGGCGACGAUCGGUAGCCGGUCUGAGAGGAUGAACGGCCACAUUGGGACUGAGACACGGCCCAGACUCCUACGGGAGGCAGCAGUGGGGAAUCUUCCGCAAUGGGCGCAAGCCUGACGGAGCAACGCCGCGUGAGUGAGGAAGUUUUUCGGAACGUAAAGCUCUGUUGUACACGACGAACGUGCUUUCUAUCAACAACGGGAAGCAAUGACGGUAGUGUACGAGGAAGCCACGGCUAACUACGUGCCAGCAGCCGCGGUAAUACGUAGGUGGCAAGCGUUGUCCGGAAUUAUUGGGCGUAAAGCGCAUGUAGGCGGUGGGAUCAGUCUGUCGUGAAACUGCGGGGCUCAGCCCCGUAUGGCGAUGGAAACUGUCUUACUUGAGUGCAGGAGAGGAAAGGGGAACUCCCAGUGUAGCGGUGAAAUGCGUAGAUAUUGGGAAGAACACCGGUGGCGAAGGCGCCUUUCUGGACUGUGUCUGACGCUGAGAUGCGAAAGCCAGGGUAGCGAACGGGAUUAGAUACCCCGGUAGUCCUGGCCGUAAACGAUGGGUACUAGGUGUGGGAGGUAUCGACCCCUUCCGUGCCGGAGUUAACGCAAUAAGUACCCCGCCUGGGGAGUACGGCCGCAAGGCUUAAACUCAAAGGAAUUGACGGGGGCCCGCACAAGCGGUGGAGUAUGUGGUUUAAUUCGACGCAACGCGAAGAACCUUACCAGGGCUUGACAU
rnacentral:rRNA from 1 species